ensembl:lncRNA
UAACUAACCUACUCUGAGCUAAUGCUGAUUUUAUUCACAUCGUUGGAGAGAAAAGGCACACUAGAUCUGAAACUGUCAACAGUGAAACUCUUAGAGCCAUUCUUCAGUGUUUUUUUAUUUAACCAGGAAGAUCCCAUUGAUCCCCUUUUUCAAGGGAUAUCUGGUCAAGAUAGGCAGCAGCACGGUUACAAAAAUUAUACAAUUAAACACAGGCAGCAACAGAACACAUGCAAAAUAAAAAAAUAAAAAUAAAAUUCAAUUAAAAUGACAAUCUAUUUGAAACUGUCACGGUUUGCGAUGCAAGCCGUGUGGGAAUUAUUGAAGGACCCAAGAUGCAGACACUUCUGGUGUGAGUGAGCUUUAUUGAGGAGGAUGACAUACAACAAAAGGCGAGGGUGGCGAGAACAGAACUGACAAAACCUAAACAGGGAAAUCUAAGCAUAAAACAUAUCUGAAACCUUAAGAUACGAACGGAGAUGCAGGGGAACCACACAGACGAAACAACAACGAACAGUAGAAAAUAGAGGGCUUAAAUACACACAGGGCAAUCAGGGACUGGGAGACAGGAGGGAGACACAGCUGGGGGAAAUCAGAGCUGACGAUACUGAGGGAAGUAAAACAGAAUACAAUAACCUGAGACACUGACCUUCAAAAUAAAACAGGGACUGACACAUGCAAAGACACAGACUGAGAAACUCAGACUUUACACAGAGGAACACAUAUGCAGGAAUGACUAAACACCAAACUGAGGAAGAACAGAACCAAAGAGCUUGAAAACCACAACCAACAUCACAAUAAUAGAAAACACAAAACACUGGGUCAAAAGACAGUUGCAUGUUAUGGACUUGGCCUAGUUUUGAAUUAAAAUCACUUAAUGAAAUGAAUUCAGUCAUUUUCCAGUUGUUCUGCAGUUCUCUCCAAGCCAAGGGUACUAAACCUGUAAUGCUGCACAUGUUUCAUGCUGUACAUGCUCAUACCUUUUUUUUACCAUCACAUGUAAAAAUGUUGUAGCAACAACUUCUUUGUAUUAAAAGAAAAACAGAACUUA